rnacentral:ncRNA from 1 species
AGUUGGAUGCAACCAAUGGCUCAUCGAAAUUGGCUUGCUGCAUUGGAUCCAAAUAUCCGGUCGGGCUUGCCAUGAUGAGUGAAAAAGUCCUCGUAGAGCUUAGCCACUGAAGGAAGAGGUAUGCGGCUUCAGCAUUCUGUGAAGUUGAAGACACCCAUCCGCUAAUACUGUAGUGUAAGAUCGAACGGCGGUUGAUGUGGUCACCGUGCUUCCGACCAAUCGGGUUG